UACGUAGGGUGCAAGCGUUGUCCGGAAUUAUUGGGCGUAAAGAGCUCGUAGGCGGUCUGUCGCGUCUGCUGUGAAAACUCGGGGCUUAACCCCGGGCCUGCAGUGGGUACGGGCAGACUAGAGUGUGGUAGGGGAGACUGGAAUUCCUGGUGUAGCGGUGAAAUGCGCAGAUAUCAGGAGGAACACCGGUGGCGAAGGCGGGUCUCUGGGCCGUAACUGACGCUGAGGAGCGAAAGCGUGGGGAGCGAACAGG
rnacentral:rRNA from 1 species